CGAUGAAGGAGGGUAUGCCGAUAGGUUGGUAUAAAUCGGGGCGACCCUCGCAGCUCAGUCAAUCGAGGGUGCUCCCUGACGGACACCCUAGACCCUAAACUCAUGGACAUCAGAUGUGGGAAUGAGGGGUUUCCCGCCGGGGCUUUCCCGCUCGCAUCCUGUGGAGGAUUAGUAAUCAAAAAGCCCCGAUGCCCGACUAUGCUGCGAGUUCGCGAAAUGGUUUCGUGGGUAGGAUUACAUUAAACAGGGGUAGGGAGGCAAGUGGGGUUGACAGCGCGGUUUGCCGCCCUGUUUAACGAGUCCCUUGUCCCCGUGGAUUGCCCGAAAAUACUCUUCCGGUUCCUGCCCCCUUCGAUCACCUUUUA
rnacentral:telomerase_RNA from 1 species